rnacentral:pre_miRNA from 7 species
UUUUGAUGAAUCUGAAAGACCCCUGAAGGGAGACCCUCACUCAAGCCUCGGGAUGUGGCGCGGACCCAAGAGAGACGGGGAGACCG